AAGACUGUACUUUCAGGGAUCAUUUCUAUAGUUUAUAACUGAGAAAUGCGUUUUGAAAGUGUUUGGUCUCGCUACCCACGAUGAUGAGAUAAUACAUCUCCUUCUGAGCACGAAGCGGAUAGAGAACAUUGAUGUUGAUCAACUGCUCUCUGUCAUUGAUGAGUGUUCCGAUUCUGAAAAGAAUAUGGAGGUAGAGGAUGCGUUCUGAGUGGU